AUAAUCAUAACCAGUUAUAAUGAACUGAUGUAAUUUAUCUCAUAUGCGCUAUGUCACUGUAGCUUACUAUGGCGAGGGAGGCGAGCGUGUGUGUGUUUGCUGGACAGUCUUUCACUGACACUUAUAGCAGAAGCAGUUGACAGAAUGAAAGUAAACUACAUUUCUUUCCCUCUCCCUCUCUUUCUCUCACUGUGGCCCAUUUGACCUAAUGGCGUGACUUUUUCUCUCCUUUCGACUUGUACAGCUAUACUUCUGGGUACAGAGUUUUCUCCUCCGCGUCUAUCAUGGAUCAGCUGUGAUCGCCGCUGCCGUUUAUCAGUAGCUAUUGUCACUAUUCUGUGAAGAGCGCCAGCACGCAAGAGCCAAUCACAGCCAUUU
rnacentral:lncRNA from 1 species